AGAGUUUGAUCCUGGCUCAGGACGAACGCUGGCGGCGUGCCUAACACAUGCAAGUCGAGCGAUGAAACCCUUCGGGGUGGAUUAGCGGCGGACGGGUGAGUAACACGUGGGUAACCUGCCUCAAAGAGGGGGAUAGCCUCCCGAAAGGGAGAUUAAUACCGCAUAACAUUAGUUUUUCGCAUGAAGACUAAUUAAAGGAGCAAUCCGCUUUGAGAUGGACCCGCGGCGCAUUAGCUAGUUGGUGAGGUAACGGCUCACCAAGGCGACGAUGCGUAGCCGACCUGAGAGGGUGAUCGGCCACAUUGGAACUGAGACACGGUCCAGACUCCUACGGGAGGCAGCAGUGGGGAAUAUUGCACAAUGGGCGAAAGCCUGAUGCAGCAACGCCGCGUGAGUGAUGAAGGCCUUCGGGUUGUAAG
rnacentral:rRNA from 1 species